UCAGGUUUCAAUGAUAUCGAUAGU
rnacentral:siRNA from 1 species